UGGCUCAGGAUGAACGCUAGCGGCAGGCUUAACACAUGCAAGUCGAGGGGCAGCGGGGAGGAAGCUUGCUUUCUCCGCCGGCGACCGGCGCACGGGUGAGUAACACGUAUGCAACCUGCCCCUGUCAGGGGGACAACCCGCCGAAAGGCGGGCUAAACCCGCGUACAUGCCACCGGGGCAUCCCGGAGGCAGGAAAGGCUUCGGCCGGACAGGGAUGGGCAUGCGGCGCAUUAGGCAGUAGGCGGGGUAACGGCCCACCUAACCGACGAUGCGUAGGGGUUCUGAGAGGAAGGUCCCCCACACUGGUACUGAGACACGGACCAGACUCCUACGGGAGGCAGCAGUGAGGAAUAUUGGUCAAUGGUCGGGAGACUGAACCAGCCAAGCCGCGUGAGGGAGGAAGGUACAGAGUAUCGUAAACCUCUUUUGUCAGGGAACAAAGACUGGGACGCGUCCCCGGAGGAGUGUACCUGAAGAAAAAGCAUCGGCUAACUCCGUGCCAGCAGCCGCGGUAAUACGGAGGAUGCGAGCGUUAUCCGGAUUUAUUGGGUUUAAAGGGUGCGCAGGCGGUCUGUUAAGUCAGCGGUCAAAGCCCGGGGCUCAACCCCGGCCCGCCGUUGAAACUGGCAGUCUCGAGUUGGAGAGAAGUAUGCGGAAUGCGCGGUGUAGCGGUGAAAUGCAUAGAUAUCGCGCAGAACUCCGAUUGCGAAGGCAGCAUGCCGGCUCCACACUGACGCUGAGGCACGAAAGCGUGGGUAUCGAACAGGAUUAGAUACCCUGGUAGUCCACGCAGUAAACGAUGAAUGCUGGCUGUCCGGGGGGACUGACCCCUGGGUGGCGAAGCGAAAGCGAUAAGCAUUCCACCUGGGGAGUACGCCGGCAACGGUGAAACUCAAAGGAAUUGACGGGGGCCCGCACAAGCGGAGGAACAUGUGGUUUAAUUCGAUGAUACGCGAGGAACCUUACCCGGGCUCAAACGGGGAGUGACUCAGGCAGAGACGCCUGUUUCCCACGGGACACUCCCCGAGGUGCUGCAUGGUUGUCGUCAGCUCGUGCCGUGAGGUGUCGGCUUAAGUGCCAUAACGAGCGCAACCCCCGCGUGCAGUUGCUAACAGAUAACGCUGAGGACUCUGCACGGACUGCCGGCGCAAGCCGCGAGGAAGGCGGGGAUGACGUCAAAUCAGCACGGCCCUUACGUCCGGGGCGACACACGUGUUACAAUGGGUGGUACAGCGGGAAGCCAGGCGGCGACGCCGAGCGGAACCCGAAAUCCACUCUCAGUUCGGAUCGGAGUCUGCAACCCGACUCCGUGAAGCUGGAUUCGCUAGUAAUCGCGCAUCAGCCAUGGCGCGGUGAAUACGUUCCCGGGCCUUGUACACACCGCCCGUCAAGCCAUGGGAGCCGAGGGCGCUUGAAGUGCGUCGCCGCGAGGCGCGCCCUAGAGCGAAAUCGGUGACUGGGGCUAAGUCGUAACAAGG
rnacentral:rRNA from 1 species